AGAAUUGAGUUCAUAAGUCUGUGAUUACAUUCAUGCGAUCUUCUUGAAGACAGAUUGAGGUGACAAACGCGGCCAUAGCAUCGUUGG